rnacentral:rRNA from 1 species
UGAAUUGACGGGGGCCCGCACAAGCGGUGGAGUAUGUGGUUUAAUUCGAUGCAACGCGAAGAACCUUACCUGGUCUUGACAUCCCGGAGACCCUUAGGAAACUAGGGGUGCUUCCAUCUGGAAGAAUCUGGAGACAGGUGCUGCAUGGCUGUCGUCAGCUCGUGUCGUGAGAUGUUGGGUUAAGUCCCGCAACGAGCGCAACCCUUGCCUUUAGUUGCCAGCAGUUCGGCUGGGCACUCUAAAGGGACUGCCGGUGUUAAACCGGAGGAAGGUGGGGAUGACGUCAAGUCCUCAUGGCCUUUAUGACCAGGGCUACACACGUACUACAAUGGCCGAUACAAAGGGCAGCGACACUGCGAGGUGAAGCCAAUCCCGUAAAAUCGGUCUCAGUCCGGAUUGGAGUCUGCAACUCGACUCCAUGAAGUUGGAAUCGCUAGUAAUCGUGGAUCAGCAUGCCACGGUGAAUACGUUCCCGGGCCUU